rnacentral:lncRNA from 1 species
GGGAUGGUGAGGCCUUCUGCGGCGGGGGAGGGAAGGGAGAGCCGCGACUAUUAUGGGAUGGCGAGGCCUUCCGCCACCGGAGGGGGGCAGCUGGGAGAGGUGAGAAGGAGAAGGCAGCCCUUCAGGAUGAUAGAACGUCGUGCGAAAUGAGAGAGGUGCUUAAGCGCCGAUCCCAAAGACAUCCGUCUUUGAGCAAAGAACUUCCAGUCUGUGUGUCACCAAGCUAGGCGCUGGCAACUUUGCAAGCAAGCCGUGCUCGUGCGUGCUAUAGAGUAGACCCUCCCUGGGCAGCUUGCUUUGGAGCAGCACUCGUCCGUGGUCGCGGCUGUUGCUGCCCGCCGCGGGACAGGAGCGGUCCUCUUGCCGGCACCCCGUGGCUCUGCAGAGCUCUGGCCGCCUUUGAGCUGAACGUGGCUCACAGCAUCACUCAGAGCCACAGCGGCUCGGUGUCGAUGAGAGUUACAGGGAAAUGUAAUGCCUCUCCCCACCAUCGGGGUUUGAGUCUCUCGUGUCCUUCCCUCAAACCAACCCGAGCCUACUGGCUCUGCUUGCUGGCAGUGGGGCUCGCACCGAGUCCUGUGGGUGUGCAGCCUCCAGGCUCACCCGCACCGCUCUCGGCUGCACGGAGCUGGGUUUUGACGGCACGUGCUAACUUUCAUACAGGGCACAAAAGCAGGUAUCUCAGAACUGCAGUCCUGGCAGCUCUGAGCAGCAGGCCGAUGCUGCAGUCCCACUGAGACCAUGCCUGCAUCUUCUCCCAUUGGAUCCUACUCUUUGCUUCAGGAAGAGCUGAAUGGAGCCUCUGUGGAAGGCUUUUGAGAGAAAUGGGCAUGUAAGACUGAUAUUAAUAAGCAACUGUGGGUCUCGCUUCCAGCUUUCAUUAUUCACUGUAUACACAGUUAUAAGAUGAGUACUGUUGCAAAGUCACGUUUUUACAAUUGUGAAACGUUUAUUUUUUCCAUCCUAGUGCUUCUAACUUCAGAAAAUAAAGAGUGAAAAUAAACAUGGAAAAUUCACAUCUGAGUAUCAACAGAGUUCUGAGUAACUGAAAAGAGAGUUGUGAUGGAAAAUACUGAGCAACCCUCGCUAUAGGUGUCAGCACCAAGUAUAUGCAGUUUGUUAGAGUGAGCAGACAAGCACAGUGUGCAGAGAUAGAGAUCAGCACUUUGGAUUUACAGGGUACUGAGCAAUAUCCCCUCCUCUCUCCCUCUCUCCCCCCAUCUCUUAUCUCCCCACUGCCCCAUGCAGCAUGUGUACUCCCCUGGCACAGUGUGCUCCUGGCUGCAGGGCCGUGCCACACACCCUGCCCCCCUCCUCCUUCUGGCAGCAGUACUCAGGAGCAGUGCAGAGUGACGUCUGAACGGCUGUUCUCCCAGCAGCAGAACACACGCAGAGUCAUGCUGGUGUGCAAGCAGUCCUCAGUGAGGUGGCCAUUACUGAGACGGGUCCUCCAGUGACACUGGUGUGUUGUCCUCAAAAAAAGAAACACAGGUGGCCUAUUUGAUCUAUCUUGUGUUGAUUCAUGUUACCAAAUUUUCUGUGUGCAAGUGUGUCUCUGCCUCUCGUUCCAAUAGCAUAUGUUUCUGCAGGAGCAGCCCCUUGGGUAUGGCGGGGGGGAGUGGUUGCUGCUUCUCCACAAGAAGAGGAGGCAAUGUCUUUUACAUCCAUUUCUGACACCAAAGCUACUUCUAUUGUGUUCAACAAAUAAGUUCAUGCUUUUUCUUUACAAACAAAUAAACAAAACGGAGUGGGGGUGGAGGGGAACAAAGGAGAAAGCAGCAAUGAAAAUGGAUAAUUUCAAUUGCCUUAGCUUGCCAUGGAGACUGCAGAAAUCUGGAAGAGAGAAGAGCUCAGCUGUGU